rnacentral:rRNA from 1 species
UGGGGAAUUUUGGACAAUGGGCGCAAGCCUGAUCCAGCAAUGCCGCGUGCAGGAAGAAGGCCUUCGGGUUGUAAACUGCUUUUGUACGGAGCGAAAAGGCUUCCUCUAAUACAGGGGGUCCAUGACGGUACCGUAAGAAUAAGCACCGGCUAACUACGUGCCAGCAGCCGCGGUAAUACGUAGGGUGCGAGCGUUAAUCGGAAUUACUGGGCGUAAAGCGUGCGCAGGCGGUUUUGUAAGACAGGCGUGAAAUCCCCGGGCUCAACCUGGGAAUGGCGCUUGUGACUGCAAGGCUGGAGUGCGGCAGAGGGGGAUGGAAUUCCGCGUGUAGCAGUGAAAUGCGUAGAUAUGCGGAGGAACACCGAUGGCGAAGGCAAUCCCCUGGGCCUGCACUGACGCUCAUGCACGAAAGCGUGGGGAGCAAACAGG